rnacentral:rRNA from 1 species
UUUCCGGGCCUUGUACACACCGCCCGUCACACCACGAAAGUUGGCAAUACCCGAAGCCGGUGGCCUAACCCGCAAGGGAGGGAGCCGUCGAAGGUAGGGUCGAUGAUUGGGGUG